CAAAGAAAUGACAUCCCAGAAACGCCAUCUUGAAACAGUGACUUGUAUUCACGCCGUAAAGGGACACGAAUUGUUGCAAACACAUAUCUAACCUCGCAAACAGUCGCUAAAAUCAUAUUCAUAUUAAAAUGAAAUAAAAAAGACAGUAUUCGAUUUGAUACUUAAUCACUGCAGUAAAUUAUAUUCGAAUACGAGCAUUAUUAUGGUACCAACAAGACUCAUCGAAACCUCUUGUCACAUUAAUGAGAAUUUAUCAUCUCCGUCAGAAGAUACAAAGUCAACAACUUGUUUGUUACGAAUGACUAUCGAAGAGCCCGCCUUGGUGGAAGGUAAAGAGCCCACACGCAAAACCAUCGCUAUGGAUCUUCCACAGGCAACUUUGAACACAUUGGUGAAUGAUUUUACAAAAAUACGUGAACAAUUAGCCAACGUGGCGAGAAAUAAAUGAUGAAAACGAAAAAAUGUUGAAGCUUGUGUAUCAAAUACUGUUAUGAUGUUAGGUGAAAAAAAUAAAAAUAAUAAACAAAUGAAAACUUUA